ACUAAAACAUCCUGUUUAUUUUCCUCCAAUCUUCUUCAUCACCUUUUUCUUUACAUCUUCACCUCUGCUCUCCUCUGCAUUUCGGACGUCAUUUAGCAGGUUGAUUCAUUAGUUUUUUUUUCUCCUGCCCGUUACAUUUUCUCGCUGUAUUUUUUACCACCUCAGCUGCUGCUGAAAGUCGAGGAAACAUGCAUCAGCGGCUGCAGCUGUCGAUCUCACCAAUUUCUGUUAAGUAAACCUAAACCCUGGAUUUAUGCCACUGAAUACUGACUACGUGUCCGGAAGUCUUUCUGGAUGAUCAACACUAUCUACGUUCUGAGGACUUCAUUUCCUAUCUACUGUCUUCGUUUGGAUUCGCAUCAAGCUGGCAGUUUCCUGCUACCUUCGUCUCCUGGAGCAAGCUGUAAGCGUACUCUGUCCACCCUCCAACGUAAGCAUCUGCACACCGAACUCAUUCCUGUUUGCUCCGAGCUCACACUGAACAGCACCUAAAGAACCUUCUACAAACUCAACCUCCUGAAUCCCUCUACCCCUGGCGACCUGACCACACCUAUUUAAACAACAACGCCAGACUAACCAACAGCUAGAGCAGAUUGCCUCCAUGUUGCAACAAACCUUAGGUACUCAGUCCACCACACAUGUAGAUGGCGCUACUGCAUUACCGGUAUCCCAACAGCUACCUCAUUCUCGUGACAUCACUUCCCCUAAUCCUGAAAGGUUUUCUGGUUCAGUAACACAGAGGAACUAUGACGUGGGAGACAGAGAAUUCCUGGGAAUUAUACUGGUCCUUGAGGAGUGGCACCAGUGGCUUGAGGGGGCUGAGAAUCCCAUCCAAACCCAGACUUAAGAAUACAAAGCCAGAUUCCCUCUCCAGACAGUUUGCCACUGAUGAUUCCGUGAAGGAACCAGCUCCCAUCCUGCCGCCCAGUUGGACAGUUGGAGCACUCAGGUGGGAGAUAGAGGACACUGUUCUUAGGGCUCAACAACAGGAACCUGACCCUGGCAAUGGACCGCCAAACCGCAUCUAUGUUCCAUCUAAAGUACGCUCCUGACUAAUCGAUUGAUUGCACACAGCAAAAUUUUCUGCCCAUCCUGGUGUUGGCAGAACUAUCGCACUAGUUCAAAGAGAGUUUUGGUGGCCCUCGCUGCAUAAAGAUGUGAGAGUUUGUUCAGGCUUGUGCAAUCUGUGCCAGAAAUAAGUCCAGUAACCAGUCACCCACGGGUCUUCUCCAACAUCUAAGCAUCCCAAAUCGACCUUGGUUUCAUAUAGCAUUGGAUUUUGUUACUGGACUUCCCCUUUCCUCAGGUAUGGCAACAAUUCUCACUAUUGUGGAUCGUUUCUCUAAGGCAUGUCAUCUCAUUCCCCUUAGGAAGCUUCCGUCAGCCCUACAGACAGCCAAACUUCUCACAAAACAUGUGUUUUGUCUUCAUGGGAUCCCACAAGACAUACUAUCCGACCGAGGACCACAGUUCAUCUCGCAAGUUUGGAAACAGUUUUGUGCAGGGGUUUUUGCUUCAGUGCUCCCUGGUUUUCAACCGAUCCCCCCGUUCCUUUCCCCAUGAUGAUGUAAAGAUUUCUUAUGUUAUUGGAUUAUUGACCGGCAAGGCUUUGCAGUGGGCUGAGGCCCAGUUUCCUGAUUGUAGAGAAUUAGGUUGUACUUUUGAAGAUUUUGUCAAGGAGUUUAAAAUGACCUUUUCCUCUGUGUUAGACAAGUCUAGUGCUGGCCGAAAGCUGAGGGCCUUAAAACAACGUCACAGACCCAUUACUGAGUUUUCCAUUGAAUUUCGUACGUUAGCAGCUACCUCGGGUUGGAAUAAUGAAGCUUUGAAAACUAGAUGAUUCACUAAAGGAUGAGUUAGCCAUGAUUGAUGAGUUGGAGUUGGAGAAUCAUCUGUUACGUUCCUGAUUAUCAUUGUCACAAUAAAAUCCUUUACUUAUUCUGUU